rnacentral:rRNA from 1 species
CCUACGGGAGGCAGCAGUGAGGAAUAUUGGUCAAUGGACGAGAGUCUGAACCAGCCAAGUAGCGUGAAGGAUGACUGCCCUAUGGGUUGUAAACUUCUUUUAUAUGGGAAUAAAAUGUUCCACGUGUGGGAUUUUGUAUGUACCAUAUGAAUAAGGAUCGGCUAACUCCGUGCCAGCAGCCGCGGUAAUACGGAGGAUCCGAGCGUUAUCCGGAUUUAUUGGGUUUAAAGGGAGCGUAGGUGGAUUGUUAAGUCAGUUGUGAAAGGUUGCGGCUCAACCGUAAAAUUGCAGUUGAAACUGGCAGUCUUGAGUACAGGAGAGGUGGGCGGAAUUCGUGGUGUAGCGGUGAAAUGCUUAGAUAUCACGAAGAACUCCGAUUGCGAAGGCAGCUCACUGGACUGCAACUGACACUGAGGCUCGAAAGUGUGGGUAUCAAACAGGAUUAGAUACCCCAGUAGUC